UCAUGGCUCAGGAUGAACGCUGGCGGCGUGCUUAACACAUGCAAGUCGAACGGUGAAGCCAAGCUUGCUUGGUGGAUCAGUGGCGAACGGGUGAGUAACACGUGAGCAACCUGCCCUGGACUCUGGGAUAAGCGCUGGAAACGGCGUCUAAUACUGGAUAUGAGCUGCGAUCGCAUGGUCGUGGUUGGAAAGAUUUUUCGGUCUGGGAUGGGCUCGCGGCCUAUCAGCUUGUUGGUGAGGUAAUGGCUCACCAAGGCGUCGACGGGUAGCCGGCCUGAGAGGGUGACCGGCCACACUGGGACUGAGACACGGCCCAGACUCCUACGGGAGGCAGCAGUGGGGAAUAUUGCACAAUGGGCGCAAGCCUGAUGCAGCAACGCCGCGUGAGGGAUGACGGCCUUCGGGUUGUAAACCUCUUUUAGCAAGGAAGAAGCGAAAGUGACGGUACUUGCAGAAAAAGCGCCGGCUAACUACGUGCCAGCAGCCGCGGUAAUACGUAGGGCGCAAGCGUUAUCCGGAAUUAUUGGGCGUAAAGAGCUCGUAGGCGGUUUGUCGCGUCUGCUGUGAAAUCUGGGGGCUCAACCCCCAGCCUGCAGUGGGUACGGGCAGACUAGAGUGCGGUAGGGGAGAUUGGAAUUCCUGGUGUAGCGGUGGAAUGCGCAGAUAUCAGGAGGAACACCGAUGGCGAAGGCAGAUCUCUGGGCCGUAACUGACGCUGAGGAGCGAAAGGGUGGGGAGCAAACAGGCUUAGAUACCCUGGUAGUCCACCCCGUAAACGUUGGGAACUAGUUGUGGGGUCCAUUCCACGGAUUCCGUGACGCAGCUAACGCAUUAAGUCCCCGCC
rnacentral:rRNA from 2 species